CAGGGCCUCUCAGCCAUCUUUUUUCUCUGACUUCUCUUCAGCCAGUUUCCACUGGCUGCUCAGGCUGCUGAUAGGUCAAGCUGUAGCAGAUAAGCUCCAUGAAGCCCACAAACUUGUCCAGGAAGAAGCCUGCUCCUGGUUCAUGCUGGCUCAGCAGCACAGUCUUCAGUCCACAGCAAACAACCUGCCUACAUCCUCAGGGUGCCCAGUUUUGGCUUUUGUACGUUGUAUAACUCUACUGGUCGUCAUUAGCAAGGCUGAAGCUGGUAUUGAUUGCCAUAAUUGAUGCAAACACUGAAAAAGACUGAAAGCCUGACAGCUGCUUGAUGCUGGACAUGAGGUUAUCAACAGUUUUCAGAUGUUCUGUCUAAAGGCUGUUAACUGAAAUUCCAAAGCUGACACGAUGUUCAGUAUGGAAAAUGAGGCUCUGUACUUGCUAACCAAGUUGAAAGACAGUGAAAAUUUUGGAAACUCACUAUGAUAUUGGUUCUAUGGAGAUUUCCACUAAAAUUCGCAGGAUACCAGAAGAUCCCCUUGCCUUUCACAGAUAGAUGAAGUGAAUCCUUCCCAGAGAAGACUGUGUGGAUCUCAGGGGACAAAGGAAUGGGGUAGCAAAAGGGACACUGUUUAAAUAGACAGCCUGGGGCUAUUCCUGUUGAAUCUGACAGAUGUCUUUCCUAUCACUGCUGUAAAGAAGAAAAAUGGUUAUUUUUCACUCUGUUCAAAAACAAACACAAUCCCAUUCUUAUCCUUAUCAUAAUAAUCUUCGCCUUCCUGACUUGGAAAUGGAAAAUGGAGACCAAAAAUGAUGUUAACUUCUUCCUAGCAACAAAGCUGGAAAAGAGUUACUUUUCAGUUUACAUGUAGUAUCAUGUAGGUGCAUAAAGAUGGGGAGAAAGAAAAGAGAACAGUCAACCAAAAAUCAACCCCCAGUUCUCUUAAAACACGUGUUUGAAUAAUUCUUUCUUGUAACCCUUGCUGAAUUGUCAGGAACUACACAGGGCAGGAAAUAUCUGGGUGUGAGUGGUCCUAGUAACAGCAGUGCUUACAGAAAACCCUUUUAUAUUGUUUUAAGCGUGAUCCACGAUCCACAGUAUGUUUUCUUUUUAAAAAUGUCUAAAACUACCUAGACUUUGGAGAAAAAAGGUGAAGUGGAACAAUUAAUAUCACAGAGCUAAACUUAAAAAAUCUGCAUUUCACCUUUGGCUCCUGAACUGAAUCACAGUGAUUUGCAUUCUUCCCUCCCCUCCCUCUCAAAAGUGUAAAAUAAUACUUCAAAACUUAAAAAUGUGCCUCCCAUAACUUUAAAUGACACUUAAUACCACCUCCUCUUGUCAUAACAAACCAGGCUUCUACUCCAGUGGGGGCUAUGUGGUAAUUUUGACUAGAACAGUGGAAUUAUGAUGGAUUAUUUUUAACUUUGGUUCCAGCUCUUUGAGUUUCAUUCUGAAUCGCUUGACUUAAUUGAUGGGAAAAUUAAAAGCAAAACUUGGCUGAAGCAAUGUUUUUUUAAAAGCAAAACUAGCCAAGGAAGCUGAUAAAACACUUUUACAGGCCCUGUUAAAGAUAUAAAGGGCUCAGUCCAGGUAUGUUCUGAUGCAGCUCAGCUUCAUUGUGAGGAAAGAAGGUGAGAUCUGAAGUCAGGUAUCAUAUAUUAAGACUGACUUGGAAAAUCUCUGAAGUUUUUGAUUUAGUUGGAGGUAAGGGAGCAGAGUUGAUCUUAAAAUCAGUUAUGUACCUCAUUUUUUUCUUGCUGGAUAUUCCUACCCACAAAAAUACAUUUAUUCUGACAACAUGUUUGACACCUUUUUAUGUCCAUUGGUAGACUGGGAGAUGCAGAGGGUGAAAAAGUGUACAAAAAAGAGAAGAAAAAGAUGAGGAAUAUGCAUAAGGAAAAGAAACAGAAUCAGAGUAAACUGGAAAAUGAACACAGGAAAGAUAACAUUGAGGUGGGAGUAUAUGCUUAGGUAGUACGGAUUCUUUUACCUCCACCCUUUAAACUGUGUGAAAGUCAUUUCAUACAUAAACAUACUUAACUGGGGGCAGAAAUCUCUAAAUCACAGUUUAUGUCAAAAAUGAUCACUUGAAGCGAUAAAGUAGUCAUUCUUCAUUCAAUCUCUUUCACAUGGAUAGUUUAAAACACAAGGAGGACCUGUACAGAUAAUGUAUGUAUCUGAUCUUUUUUUCUGUCUUCUCUAUUUUGUCAUUGUCAGCCUGUUGUGCCUCCCACUGCAUUAUGGGCAGACCUUUAAAAAAAAAAAAUCUCCUUAGAAACCUAGACCCUUUCAGAGGGGAACAGAACUUUGUUUCCUUCCUGGAGAGUACUGGAAUAACAUGGUGCUAAAAUUGAAUAGAUACAUUAUAACAAAUGCAGUGAAUGAGAAAACAGAAGUAUUAGAAAAAGAAUCUGAAGAAGAGGGAAACAUUGUGUCUGCUGGGAUCAAAACACUGAAUUCUGCCUUUCAGGGUUGGGGUAAGAGGUAAGAUGCAUCCAUAUGUUGCUAGCAUUUAAAACAGUCCAUCUGAAGCUUAAAUAUAAUCAGGCAAGUAAAAUCGUUUAUGGUUAAUUAUUCUGUUUUUAAUGGCUUCUUUGGCUGGAGAUUAACAAGAGAAAACCAUUUCUGAGUUGGUUUAAUGUAAUUACUUGAUAGAACAGGGUUUCAGGGUUUAAAGAUCAGAAGAUUAACUCAAGUAACUUUACUUGAUAAUUAGUUUUGGGUUGCAGCCUGUCUCUAAUACAAAGAAAUUGAAGUGGUUUUGCUUCCUAUUCUAGAUCAGCUUAAUGUGAAUUUGAGUAGCUUUUUUUGAAAAGGGUGGCUAUCAGAUUCAAACCUAUCAAUGAUCUUGCAAAGCUGUUAAUGCUUUUAGCAUCUCUUUUACAGUCUGUCUUCUGUUAUGUCAAUAUGUAUAUAGGGUUAACUAACAAUACACAAAAUGAUUUUUUGAAAUAAUAAUUCAGUGCAUGAAAAUUCAGCCCUGCAUAGGCAAAUUAUAUAUUAACAAUGCACCAAUGCAUGAUUUAUAAUUGUCUUUGACCAAUGAAAGUAAACAUUUUAAAUUGGCAGUCAGGAACAUGUCUGUGUUUCUGGAUAAAAGAAG